AUGAUAAAAAUUAGUGGCAGACGGGUGAGUAAUGCAUAGGAAUCUACCUAGUAGUAUGGGAUAGCCACUAGAAAUGGUGGCUAAUACUGUAUAAUCCCUGCGGGGGAAAGAUUUAUCGCUAUUAGAUGAGCCUAUGUUAGAUUAGCUAGUUGGUAGGGUAAAGGCCUACCAAGGCAGAGAUCUAUAGCUGGUCUGAGAGGAUGAUCAGCCACACUGGAACUGAGAUACGGUCCAGACUACUACGGGAGGCAGCAGUGGGGAAUAUUGGACAAUGGGCGCAAGCCUGAUCCAGCUAUGCCGCGUGAGUGAGGAAGGCCUUAGGGUUGUAAAACUCUUUCAGUGGGGAAGAUAAUGACGGUACCCACAGAAGAAGUCCCGGCAAACUCCGUGCCAGCAGCCGCGGUAAUACGGAGGGGGCAAGCGUUGUUCGGAAUUAUUGGGCGUAAAGGGCAUGUAGGCGGUUCGGUAAGUUAAAGGUGAAAUG
rnacentral:rRNA from 1 species